AUUGAACGCUGGCGGCAUGCUUUACACAUGCAAGUCGAACGGCAGCGCGGGCGUCGGCCUGGCGGCGAGUGGCGAACGGGUGAGUAAUGUAUCGGAACGUGCCCAGUAGUGGGGGAUAGCCCGGCGAAAGCCGGAUUAAUACCGCAUACGCCCUGUAGGGGAGAGCGGGGGACCGAAAGGCCUCGCGCUAUUGGAGCGUCCGAUGUCGGAUUAGCUAGUUGGUGGGGUAAAGGCUUACCAAGGCGACGAUCCGUAGCUGGUCUGAGAGGACGACCAGCCACACUGGGACUGAGACACGGCCCAGACUCCUACGGGAGGCAGCAGUGGGGAAUUUUGGACAAUGGGGGCAACCCUGAUCCAGCCAUGCCGCGUGCGGGAAGAAGGCCUUCGGGUUGUAAACCGCUUUUGUUCGGGAAGAAAUCCUCUGGGCUAAUACCCCGGGGGGAUGACGGUACCGGAAGAAUAAGCACCGGCUAACUACGUG
rnacentral:rRNA from 1 species